GAGACCUCAUGAUCAGUGUUCCAUGAAUGGGUUUCAGGUCUGUUGCCUACUUUGGGAGUGACUGAUCUUUAUAGUUCAGCUGGGCUGUCUGAAGGGACAGCAACUAACCACAUGAGCAUGGUUUCCUCCAUCUUCAAUCAUGAAAACCAAAAGAAGAUCUCCAGAAAGCUCACCCUGAGCACCAAGGAGCUGAGGUCCCUGAGGAUCUAGUGGAGCCAAGUGCCAUAUCUGCCCUAGACUGCCUGCUUCCAGACUUUACAUGAAAAAGACAGAGGUUUAUAUUGUUAGGCGAUUGUUAAUUUGAUUUUGAGAUGCAUGUAGUUGAACUUUAAUUAACUGAUGACAAACGUAUGAGAUGGAUGCAUAAUGUGGGGAUUUCCCAGUGUUGUCAGGUCAAAGGAAUGAUUUUGUGGUUAUUCAUUGAAACAUCUUAGACAAUAAGGUUUUAUUUCCAUAACUCCAGUUUCCAUUGCUAGCAAAUUCUCAGAAAAAAAAAAAAAAAAAAAAA